rnacentral:rRNA from 1 species
CCUACGGGAGGCAGCAGUGAGGAAUAUUGGUCAAUGGGCGCGAGCCUGAACCAGCCAAGUAGCGUGAAGGAUGACUGCCCUACGGGUUGUACACUUCUUUUAUAAAGGAGUAAAGGGAGGUACGUGUGCCUUUUUGUAUGUACUUUAUGAAUAAGGAUCGGCCAACUCCGUGCCAGCAGCCGCGGUUAUCCGGAUGAUCCGAGCUUUAUCCGGAUUUUUUGGGUUUAAAGGGAGCGUAGAUGGGUUGGUAAGUCAGUUGUGAAAGUUUGCGGCUCAACCGUACAAUUGCAAUUGAUACUGGAAGGCUUGAGUACAGUUGAGGUAAGCGGAAUUCGUGGUGUAGCGGUGAAAUGCGUAGAUAUUACGAAGAACUCCGAUGGCGAAGGCAGCCUACUAAACUGCCACUGACAUUGAUGCUCGAAAGUGUGGGUAUCAAACAGGAUUAGAUACCCUAGUAGUC